AUAUAAAUAAGCUAAGUAACUAAGCUAGUAGGUUCAUACCCUAAAUAUAUAAAUAAUUUAUUUUAUAUA
rnacentral:tRNA from 1 species